rnacentral:rRNA from 1 species
AGCUCCAAUAGCGUAUAUUAAAGUUGUUGCGGUUAAAAAGCUCGUAGUUGGAUUUCUGUCAAAGGGUGAUCCUCCGCCCCUUGUGGUGAGUAGUGAUCAUACCGUUGGCAUCUUCUUGGGGAGUGUAUCUGCACUUCAUUGUGUGGUGCACAAGCCAGGACUUUUACUUUGAGGAAAUGAGAGUGUUUCAAGCAGGCGUCCGCCGUGAAUACGUUAGCAUGGAAUAAUAGCAUCGGACCUCGUUCCAAAGCUGUUGGUUUCUUGGGGCGAGGUAAAGGUGAAUAGGGAUUGUUGGGGGCAUUCGUAUUUAACUGUCAGAGGUGAAAUUCUUGGAUUUGUUGAAGACGGACUACUGCGAAAGCAUCUGCCAAAGAUGUUCUCA